rnacentral:tRNA from 1 species
UUUCAGACCGGAGCUAUCAACCACUCAGCCAUCUCUCC